GACGAACGCUGGCGGCGUGCUUAACACAUGCAAGUCGAACGGAAAGGCCCUGCUUUUGUUGGUUUCUCGAGUGGCGAACGGGUGAGUAACACGUGAGUAACCUGCCCUUGACUUUGGGAUAACUUCAGGAAACUGGGGCUAAUACCGGAUAGGAGCUCCUGCUGCAUGGUGUUGGUUGGAAAGUUUCGGCGGUUGGGGAUGGACUCGCGGCUUAUCCGCUUGUUGGUGGGGUAGUUGCUUACCAAGGCUUUGACGGGUAGCCGGCCUGAGAGGGUGACCGGCCACAUGGGGACUGAGAUACGGACCAGAAGCCUACGGGAGGCAGCAGUGGGGAAUAUUGCACAAUGGGCGGAAGCCUGAGGCAGAAACGCCGCGUGCGGGAUGACGGCCUUCGGGUUGUAAACCGCUUUCGAAGGUGACGAAGCGGGAGUGACGGUAAUGGGUAAAGAAGCACCGGCUAACUACGUG
rnacentral:rRNA from 1 species